ACCUUCUAUGGUGUAGUUGGUAGCACGUUUACUUAGUAAUUAAAAUUCCUAGGUUCAAGUCUCUGUCAGGGUG